rnacentral:sRNA from 1 species
ACUGGACAUGGUGGCACAUGUUUGUAAUCCCAGCAACUUGGGAGGCUGAGACAGGAGGAUAACAAGUUCAAGGCCUGCCUUGGCAAAUUGAUGAGACCCUGUCUGAA